rnacentral:rRNA from 1 species
CCAAUAGCGUAUAUUAAAGUUGUUGCAGUUAAAAAGCUCGUAGUUGAAUUUCGGGAUUAGUGCGCUGGUCAUGCCUUUGGUAUGUACUGGUGUUACUGAUUUCUACCUUCUGAAGAACCGUUAUGUCAUUUAUUUGGUGUGGCGGGGAAUCAGGACUGUUACUUUGAAAAAAUUAGAGUGUUUAAAGCAGGCUCGCGCUUGAAUACAUUAGCAUGGAAUAAUGAAAUAGGACGUUUGACCCUAUUUUGUUGGUUUCUAGGAUCGGCGUAAUGAUUAAUAGGGAUAGUUGGGGGCAUUAGUAUUCAAUUGUCAGAGGUGAAAUUCUUGGAUUUAUUGAAGACUAACUACUGCGAAAGCAUUUGCCAAGGAUGUUUUCAUUAAUCAAGAACGAAAGUUAGGGGAUCGAAGACGAUCAGAUACCGUCGUAGUCUUAACCAUAAACUAUGCCGACUAGGGAUCGGAUGAUGUUAUUUUUAAUGACUCAUUCGGCGCCUUACG